rnacentral:rRNA from 1 species
AACGAACGCUGGCGGCAUGCCUAACACAUGCAAGUCGAACGAGACCUUCGGGUCUAGUGGCGCACGGGUGCGUAACGCGUGGGAACCUGCCCUUAGGUUCGGAAUAACUCCCCGAAAGGGGUGCUAAUACCGGAUAAUGUCCUCGGAGCAAAGAUUUAUCGCCUUUGGAUGGGGCCGCGUUGGGUUAGCUAGUUGGUAGGGUAAGAGCCUACCAAGGCGACGAUCCAUAGCUGGUCGGAGAGGAUGAUCAGGCACACUGGGACUGAGACACGGCCCAGACUCCUACGGGAGGCAGCAGUGGGGAAUAUUGGACAAUGGGCGAAAGUCUGACACAGCAAUGCCGCGUGAGUGAUGAAGGCCUUAGGGUUGUAAAGCUCUUUUACCCGGGAUGAUAAUGACAGUACCGGGAGAAUAAGCACCGGCUAACUCCGUG